GAUGAACGCUGGCGGCGUGCUUAACACAUGCAAGUCGAACGGAAAGGCUCCUGCUUGCAGGGGUACUCGAGUGGCGAACGGGUGAGUAACACGUGGGUGAUCUGCCCUGCACUUCGGGAUAAGCCUGGGAAACUGGGUCUAAUACCGGAUAGGACGAUGGUUUGGAUGCCAUUGUGGAAAGUUUUUCGGUGUGGGAUGAGCUCGCGGCCUAUCAGCUUGUUGGUGGGGUAAUGGCCUACCAAGGCGUCGACGGGUAGCCGGCCUGAGAGGGUGUACGGCCAAAAUGGGGAUGAGACUGCGGCCCGUCCUCCGAGGGGAGGAACAGGGGGGAAAGAUUACAAAGUGGGCGAAGCCCUUGUCCAGCGCGCCCGGGGGGGGGAGGACGGCCUCGGGGUUGUAACCUCGUUCCGCAGGGGAGAAGCCGCAGGUGAGGGUCCCGGAAAAAGAACCCCGGGCUAACUACGUC
rnacentral:rRNA from 1 species